AUUGAACGCUAGCGGGAUGCUUUACACAUGCCGGUCGAACGAGUGGCGGACGGGUGAGUAAUAUAUCGGAACGUGCCCAGUAGCGGGGGAUAACUACUCGACAGAGUGGCUAAUACCGCAUACUAUUUGAGCGGCCGAUAUCGGCUUAGCGAGUUGGUGGGGUAAAGGCUCACCAAGGCAACGAUCAGUAGCUGGUUUGAGAGGAAUACCAGCCAAACUGGGACUGAGACACGGCCCAGACUCCUACGGGAGGCAGCAGUGGGGAAUUUUGGACAAUGGGGGAAACCCUGAUCCAGCCAUCCCGCGUGUAUGAGAAGGCCUUCGGGUUGUAAAGUACUUUUGGCAGAGAAGCGGUAUCUGCAGAAUAAGCACCGGCUAACUACGUGCCAGCAGCCGCGGUAAUUC
rnacentral:rRNA from 1 species